GUGGUAGUACCCAAGAGGCUGAAGGGAUUUGCUUGGAAAGCAAAUAGGCGGCGUAAGCCGUGCAGGGGUUCAAAUCCCUUCUACCACGCCA
rnacentral:tRNA from 1 species